rfam:Ictidomys tridecemlineatus contig089237, whole genome shotgun sequence.
UGGGUUGUGGCUCAGUGGUAGAGCACUUGCCUAGCAUGUGUGAGGCCUGGGUUCCAUUCUCAGCACCACAG